rnacentral:rRNA from 1 species
UACAGAGGUGGCAAGCGUUGUUCGGAUUUACUGGGCGUAAAGGGUGCGUAGGCGGUUGCGUGUGUCAAAUGUGAAAGCCCACUGCUCAACGGUGGAAGUGCAUUCGAAACUACGUGACUAGAGUACAGGAGAGGAGAGCGGAAUUCCUGGUGUAGCGGUGAAAUGCGUAGAGAUCAGGAAGAACACCGGUGGCGAAGGCGGCUCUCUAGACUGAUACUGACGCUGAGGCACGAAAGCUGGGGGAGCAAACAGG